UAAUUGAAGAGUUUGAUCAUGGCUCAGAUUGAACGCUGGCGGCAGGCCUAACACAUGCAAGUCGAACGGUAACAGAGAGCAGCUUGCUGCUCUGCUGACGAGUGGCGGACGGGUGAGUAAUGUCUGGGAAACUGCCUGAUGGAGGGGGAUAACUACUGGAAACGGUAGCUAAUACCGCAUAACGUCUACGGACCAAAGUGGGGGACCUUCGGGCCUCAUGCCAUCAGAUGUGCCCAGAUGGGAUUAGCUAGUAGGUGGGGUAACGGCUCACCUAGGCGACGAUCCCUAGCUGGUCUGAGAGGAUGACCAGCCACACUGGAACUGAGACACGGUCCAGACUCCUACGGGAGGCAGCAGUGGGGAAUAUUGCACAAUGGGCGCAAGCCUGAUGCAGCCAUGCCGCGUGUAUGAAGAAGGCCUUCGGGUUGUAAAGUACUUUCAGCGGGGAGGAAGGCGUUGUGGUUAAUAACCACAGC
rnacentral:rRNA from 1 species